rnacentral:rRNA from 1 species
CCUACGGGAGGCAGCAGUCGAGAAUCAUUCACAAUGGGGGAAACCCUGAUGGUGCGACGCCGCGUGGGGGAAUGAAGGUCUUCGGAUUGUAAACUCCUGUCAUGUGGGAGCAAAUUAAAAAGAUAGUACCACAAGAGGAAGAGACGGCUAACUCUGUGCAAGCAGCCGCGGUAAUACAGCGGUCUCAAGCGUUGUUCGGAGUCACUGGGCGUAAAGCGUGCGUAGGCUGUUUCGUAAGUCGUGUGUGAAAGGCGCGGGCUCAACCCGCGGACGGCACAUGAUACUGGGAGACUAGAGUAAAGGAGAGGGAAGCGGAAUUCUCGGUGUAGCGGUGAAAUGCGUAGAUAUCGAGAGGAACACUCGUGGCGAAGGCGGGUUCCUGGACAUUAACUGACGCUGAGGCACGAAGGCCAGGGGAGCGAAAGGGAUUAGAUACCCGUGUAGUC